rnacentral:rRNA from 1 species
UAGGGAAUCUUCGGCAAUGGACGGAAGUCUGACCGAGCAACGCCGCGUGAGUGAAGAAGGUUUUCGGAUCGUAAAGCUCUGUUGUAAGAGAAGAACGAGUGUGAGAGUGGAAAGUUCACACUGUGACGGUAUCUUACCAGAAAGGGACGGCUAACUACGUGCCAGCAGCCGCGGUAAUACGUAGGUCCCGAGCGUUGUCCGGAUUUAUUGGGCGUAAAGCGAGCGCAGGCGGUUAGAUAAGUCUGAAGUUAAAGGCUGUGGCUUAACCAUAGUACGCUUUGGAAACUGUUUAACUUGAGUGCAAGAGGGGAGAGUGGAAUUCCAUGUGUAGCGGUGAAAUGCGUAGAUAUAUGGAGGAACACCGGUGGCGAAAGCGGCUCUCUGGCUUGUAACUGACGCUGAGGCUCGAAAGCGUGGGGAGCAAACAGGAUUAGAUACCCUGGUAGUCCACGCCGUAAACGAUGAGUGCUAGGUGUUAGGUCCUUUCCGGGACUUAGUGCCGCAGCUAACGCAUUAAGCACUCCGCCUGGGGAGUACGACCGCAAGGUUG